rnacentral:rRNA from 1 species
UAAAUUGAGAGUUUGAUCCUGGCUCAGGACGAACGCUGGCGGCGUGCCUAACACAUGCAAGUCGAGCGAUGAAGCGUCUCCUUAGGGAGACGGUGGAUUAGCGGCGGACGGGUGAGUAACACGUGGGUAACCUGCCUCAAAGAGGGGAAUAGCCUCCCGAAAGGGAGAUUAAUACCGCAUAAUAUGUUUUGGUCGCAUGAUCGAAACAUCAAAGGAUUUUUCUUUUAGAAGAUUCCACUUUGAGAUGGACCCGCGGCGCAUUAGCUAGUUGGUGAGGUAACGGCCCACCAAGGCAACGAUGCGUAGCCGACCUGAGAGGGUGAUCGGCCACAUUGGAACUGAGACACGGUCCAGACUCCUACGGGAGGCAGCAGUGGGGAAUAUUGCGCAAUGGGGGAAACCCUGACGCAGCAACGCCGCGUGAAUGAUGAAGGCCUUCGGGUUGUAAAGU